GUGAACGCUGGCGGUAGGCCUAACACAUGCAAGUCGAACGGCAGCACCGUAAGAGCUUGCUCUUACGGGUGGCGAGUGGCGGACGGGUGAGGAAUACAUCGGAAUCUACUUUUUCGUGGGGGAUAACGUAGGGAAACUUACGCUAAUACCGCAUACGACCUACGGGUGAAAGCAGGGGCUCUUCGGACCUUGCCCGAUUGAAUGAGCCGAUGUCGGAUUAGCUAGUUGGCGGGGUAAAGGCCCACCAAGGCGACGAUCCGUAGCUGGUCUGAGAGGAUGAUCAGCCACACUGGAACUGAGACACGGUCCAGACUCCUACGGGAGGCAGCAGUGGGGAAUAUUGGACAAUGGGCGCAAGCCUGAUCCAGCCAUACCGCGUGGGUGAAGAAGGCCUUCGGGUUGUAAAGCCCUUUUGUUGGGAAAGAAAAGCAGCAGGUUAAUACCCCGCUGUUCUGACGGUACCCAAAGAAUAAGCACCGGCUAACUUCGUG
rnacentral:rRNA from 1 species